AGCUUUUCAGUAGUUUACUACAGAAAAUGACUGAGCGGCGAACGGGUGAGUAACGCGUGAGCAAUCUACCUUAGUUACAGGGAUAGCCCGAGGAAACUCGGAUUAAUACCUGAUAUUCUUUAUUUCUCGCAUGAGAAUAAAAGGAAAGGUCAGCCGAACUAAGAUGAGCUCGCGUUCUAUCAGCUAGUUGGUGAGGUAAAAGCUUACCAAGGCUACGACGGAUAGCUGGUCUGAGAGGACGAUCAGCCACACUGGGACUGAGACACGGCCCAGACUCCUACGGGAGGCUGCAGCAGGGAAUAUUGUGCAAUGAACGAAAGUUUGACACAGCGACACCGCGUGUGGGAUGACGGAUCUAGGUUUGUAAACCACUUUCAGGAGGGAAGAAAAUGACGGUACCUCCACAAGAAGCCCCGGCCAACUACGUGCCAGCAGCCGCGGUAAUACGUAGGGGGCGAGCGUUGUCCGGAUUUAUUGGGCGUAAAGAGCUCGUAGGCGGUUCAACAAGUCGGUCGUGAAAGUUCAGGGCUCAACCCUGAAAUGUCGAUCGAUACUGUUGUGACUAGGAUACGGUAGAGGUGAGUGGAAUUCCGAGUGUAGCGGUGAAAUGCGUAGAUAUUCGGAGGAACACCAAUUGCGAAGGCAGCUCACUGGACCGCUAUCGACGCUGAGGAGCGAAAGCUAGGGGAGCAAACAGGAUUAGAUACCCUGGUAGUCCUAGCUGUAAACGAUGGAUACUAGACGUAGGAACUGGAUUGACGGUUUCUGUGUCGUAGCUAACGCGUUAAGUAUCCCGCCUGGGGAGUACGGUCGCAAGACUAAAAC
rnacentral:rRNA from 1 species